rnacentral:ncRNA from 1 species
GCAGGGGACUCAUCUUAAAUGGUGCGUUCAUAUCGUAAGAUAUGAAAUGAACGGGAUGAAUUCAGGGAAACCUUAACAGCUCAGUUAAUCACUGAGGCUGAUGGCAAUCCUGAGCCAAGCCAAAGGUACACCUUUGGAAGGUGCAGAGACUACCUGAGAACUUUAGUGUUCUUGAUAACAGGCUAGAGCUUCCCGCGCCCCACCAGUCACUUCGAUUGAGGGUGAUGAGAUAGUCCGCUCCGUGCAGAAAUGUUCGG